rnacentral:rRNA from 1 species
UACAGAGGUCCCAAGCGUUGUUCGGAUUCACUGGGCGUAAAGGGUGCGUAGGUGGUGAGGUAAGUCGGAUGUGAAAUCUCCGGGCUCAACCCGGAAAUGGCAUUGGAAACUACCUUGCUGGAGGAUUUGAGGGGGGAUUGGAAUACUUGGUGUAGCAGUGAAAUGCGUAGAUAUCAGGAGGAACACCGAUGGCGAAGGCAGGUCUCUGGGCCACUACUGACGCUGAGAAGCGAAAGCAUGGGGAGCGAACAGG